ACGGUUGUGGCGGAAUUGGUAGACGCGCUAGAUUUAGGUUCUAGUAAGUUUUCUUGUGGGGGUUCAAGUCCCCCCAACCGUA
rnacentral:tRNA from 1 species